AUGCAGUAUAAUUUGGAUGUCGUUAAGGAAAAUAAAGAGAAUAAAAAAAGUGGUAUAAAUGUAAAAAUGAAUGACAAAAUUAAUGAAAAAAGUAAUGAAAAAAGUGAUAAAUAUAUAGUUGAAAAAAGUGAUAAAUAUAUAGNNNNNNNNNNUGAAAAAAGUGAUAAAUAUAUAGUUGAAAAAAGUGAUAAAUAUAUAGAUGACCUGAAGAGUGAUUUAACGGCUUCAAUUGAUGACGCAAAUUCUGAUGUGUACAAUAAAGGAUAUAAAAAUAAAAUAAUGAAAUAUAAUUUUAUUUAUAAUUCAAAGGAUAUUAAUAAUAUUGAAUUUUAUGAACAGAAAAAACAUACAUUUAUAAAUAAAAAUGUAAAUUAUUUAGAUGAAUUAAUAGAAGAUAGUAAACAUAAAUUAGCAACUGAAAAUAUUUUAAUACCUGAAAAUAAUAAAUUGCAAAAUGUAGAACUGAUUGUUAAAAAUGAACAAGUUACAGUAGUGUAUGAAAAAAGUAAUGAUGGUGUAUUAGAAAAAAAAAAAAAAAAAAAUGAACUAAAAGGGGGAGAAGUAGAAGAAGGUAAAGAUGGAGGAGAAGGAGAAGAAUGUAAAGGAGAAGAUGUAGAAGAAGGUAAAGAAGGAGAAGUAGAAGAAUGUAAAGGAGGGAAAGUUGAAGAAGUAGAAGAAUGUAAAGAAGGGAAAGUUGAAGAAGUAGAAGAAUGUAAAGAAGGAGGAGUAGAAUCAUUUGAAUAUACAUUGUGGGAUAAAAAUUGUAUGGAAAAGGAUAAAGCACAUUGUAAGGAAAGUUUUUUUUGAAAUUACUGAAUCAUUGAAAGAGUAUAAAAGUUUACAUACCAAUAAUAAUAAUAAUAAUAAUAAUAAUAAUAAUAAUAAUAAUAAUAANNNNNNNNNNAUAAUAAUAAUAAUAAUAAUAAUAAUAAUAAUAAUAAUAAUAAUAAUGAUAAUGGAGUUUGUAAUGUGUUUGAAAUGCGUGAUGUUAAUGAUGACAUGUUUAAAGAACAUAAAGUGGUAAAUAAAAAAGAAAUUAUAAACUUUUUUCA
rnacentral:lncRNA from 1 species